AGUCAAUUCAAGGUACUAACCCAUACCUAUAAAGCACUGACCAAUUCUAGCCCUUCCUAUAUCUUUUCACUGAUCCGCAGGUAUGCCCCUUCUCAAGUUCUCCGCUCUGCCCAUGACCUUCUCCUGUCCGCUGCUCGCACCCGUACAGCCAACUCACGCUUGCAGAACUUCUUGCGGACGGCUCCUUUCCUUUGGAAUAGCCUGCCUACGACCAUCAAGCUCUUCCCCAGUCUUCAAUAAUUUAAAAAGUUCCUCAAAACCCCUCUCUUUAGGAAAGCUUUUGGCCUCCCAGACUAACCUCUACCUUACAUACCUGUCCCUUGCUCUCUCCUAAAGGGCAGCACUCUAUUCUCUCCUCCCGCUCUGCUUCACUCCACCUUGUUUGAUUGCUACCUCCUGUCCUGUUUUGUUUUACACCCCACCUCCUAUAGACUGUAAGCUCGUUUGAGCAGGGCCCUCUUCAACCUAUCGUUCCUGUAAGUUUUUCUAACUGUCUCAUUUAAUGUUAAAUCUCCCCCUUUGAUAACAUUGUAAAGCGCUACAGACUAUGCUGGCGCUAUAUAAAUACCAUUAAUAAUAAUAAUAUUACUGCUAUAUGCUUCUAAUGGCCACCAUAUUUUAUUCCAGACUCUUUAUUACUGUUAAGCGACAUUAGUUUUAUGUAGGCCAAUGAACUAAAUACUGCUGCAGAUCUUAUUCAUUUAA